GUGAAUCAUCGAAUCUUUGAACGCAAAUUGCACUCUCUGGUAUUCCGGAGAGUAUGCCUGUUUGAGGGCAAGUUUAAAUAAAAAUCGUGGUGGUGGCUGCCUUCCUUGGUGAGGCACCGGAUUUGGGUCUCUUUGCCUUGGGUAAAGGGACCUAAAAUUUUGCAUGAUUUUUUUCGAAGGUAUUUAAAUAUUUUAACUAACGUUUCCGUUACGAAAUA
rnacentral:misc_RNA from 1 species